GAUGAACGCUGGCGGCGUGCCUAACACAUGCGAGUCGAGCGAACAGACGAGGAGUUUGCUCCUCUGACGUUAGCGGCGGACGGGUGAGUAACACGUGGAUAACCUACCUAUAAGACUGGGAUAACUUCGGGAAACCGGAGCUAAUACCGGAUAAUAUAUUGAACCGCAUGGUUCAAUAGUGAAAGACGGUUUUGCUGUGACUUAUAGAUGGAUCCGCGCCGCAUUAGCUAGUUGGUAAGGUAACGGCUUACCAAGGCAACGAUGCGUAGCCGACCUGAGAGGGUGAUCGGCCACACUGGAACUGAGACACGGUCCAGACUCCUACGGGAGGCAGCAGUAGGGAAUCUUCCGCAAUGGGCGAAAGCCUGACGGAGCAACGCCGCGUGAGUGAUGAAGGUCUUCGGAUCGUAAAACUCUGUUAUUAGGGAAGAACAAAUGUGUAAGUAACUAUGCACGUCUUGACGGUACCUAAUCAGAAAGCCACGGCUAACUACGUG
rnacentral:rRNA from 1 species